AGAGAAAGACGACUAAGGUAGAUUAUUUAAGAAAGCUUGAAACUCGUUUUGUUCGGCUGUCAUUUUUUUUAUUAUACUAUAACAAACCUAAGUAGGAAGUAGAGUCUCGUAGCUCAGCUGGUUAGAGCGCUACACUGAUAAUGUAGAGGUCGGCAGUUCGAGUCUGCCCGAGACUACUAAGAGUCGAGAGCAGAGGAGAAGUUUAUGCCGUAUUUUUUAUGGUAAGUCUGCCCGAGACUAUUUUUUUAUUUAGGGUUUUUUUAUAGAAAAGGAAAUUCUAGAGGUUGGGAUUCCACUUAUAGUCUCUCAUCCAGUUAGGGUGGAAUUAUAAUGGGGGAUUAGCUCAGCUGGCUAGAGCGCCUGCCUUGCACGCAGGAGGUCAUCGGUUCGACUCCGAUAUUCUCCACGGUUCUAUAGAAUAGGAUUAUUAAUUGUAACAUUUGUUAUCCAACAUUUAGUGUUGCGAUUAGUGGCUUUAUUUGUUUUAACUAGAAAGACGUUCAUUGACAUAUUGAAAAUAGAUACAAAAAUAAAAACGUAUCAAUCAUUUUUUAUAAUACAUAAAAACAUGGUUGUACGAGCAAAUAGAGUAAUAAAAACUAAAAGAGAAAAGUUAC
rnacentral:tRNA from 1 species